CCGUUGGGAGCCUUGANCUCUUAUUGGSGCAACUAACGCAUUAAGUUGACCGCCUGGGGAGUACGGCCGCAWGGUUAAAACUCMAAGGAAUUGACGGGAGCAAGCGUUGUCCGGAUUUACUGGGUGUAAAGGGUGCGUASGCGGCACUGCAAGUCAGGCGUGAAAGCCGGAGGCUUAACCUCCGAACUGCGUUUGAAACUGUGGUGCUUGAGUGAAGUAGAGGUAGGCGGAAUUCCCGGUGUAGCGGUGAAAUGCGUANAGAUCGGGAGGAACACCAGUGGCGAAGGCGGCUUACUGGGCUUUAACUGACGCUGAGGCACGAAAGCAUGGGUAGCAAACAGGAUUAGAUACCCUGGUAGUCCAUGCCGUAAACGAUGAUUACUAGGUGUGGGGGGUCUGACCCCUUCCUUGCCGGAGUUAACACAAUAAGUAAUCCACCUGGGGAGUACGGCCGCAAGGUUG
rnacentral:rRNA from 1 species